rnacentral:rRNA from 1 species
GACGAACGCUGGCGGCGUGCUUAAUACAUGCCAGUCGAACGGAAAGGCCCUGCUUUUGCUGCGUGCUCGUGUGGCGAACAGGUGAGUAAAACGUGAGUAACAUGCCCUUGUCUUUGGGAUAACUUCAGGAGACUCGGGCUAAUACCCGAUAGGAGCUCCUGCUGCAUGUUGGGGGUUAGAAAGUUUCGGCGGUUGGGGAUCGUCUGGCGGCUUAACAGCUUCUUGGUGGGGUAGUUGCGUACCAAGGCUUUGACGGGUAGCCGGCCUGAGAGGGUGACCAGCGACAAUGGGACUAAGAUACGGCCCAGACUCGAACCGGACGCAGCGGUGGGGAAUAUGACGCAGAGGGGGGGAGCCUGUGACGACAACCCCGGGUGCGGGAUGACGGGCUACGGGUUGAGAACCGAUUUCGAAUUUGACGUGGAGGGAGUGACGGUACUUGGUAAAGAAGCACCGGCUAACUACGUG